AACGAACGCUGGCGGCAUGCCUAAUACAUGCAAGUCGAACGAAACCUUCGGGACUUGUGGCGCACGGGUUUGUAACGCGUGGGAACCUGCCCUUAUGUUCGGAAUAACUCUCCGAAAGGGGUGCUAAUACCGGACAAUGUCUUCGGACCCAAGAUUUAUUGCCUUUGUAUGGGCCCGCGUUGGAUUAGAUAGUUGGUAGGCUAAAAGCUUCCUAAGGCGACGAUUCAUAGCUGGUCUGUGAGGAUGAUCAGCGACACUGGGACUGAGACACGGCCCAGACUCCUCCGCGAGGGAGCAGUGCGGAAUAUUGCAACGUCGGCGAAGGGAUGAUCCUGCAAUGCCGGGUGAGUGCUGAAAGUAUUAGAGUUGUAAAGCUCUUUUAACCGGGAUGAUAAUGACAGUACCGGGAGAGUAAGCUCCGGCUAACUCCGUG
rnacentral:rRNA from 1 species